GGAGCAGUAGUUCAGUUGGUUGGAAUACCGGCCUGUCACGCCGGGGUCGCGGAGUUCGAGUCCCGUCCGCUCCGCCA
rnacentral:tRNA from 1 species